rnacentral:rRNA from 1 species
GAUGAACGCUAGCGGGAGGCCUAACACAUGCAAGCCGAGCGGUAUUGUUUCUUCGGAAAUGAGAGAGCGGCGUACGGGUGCGUAACACGUGUGCAACCUGCCUUUAUCUGGGGGAUAGCCUUUCGAAAGGAAAAUUAAUACUCCAUAAUAUAUUGAACGGCAUCGUUUAAUAUUGAAAGCUCCGGCGGAUAGAGAUGGGCACGCGCAAGAUUAGCUAGUUGGUGAGGUAACGGCUCACCAAGGCGAUGAUCUUUAGGGGGCCUGAGAGGGUGAUCCCCCACACUGGUACUGAGACACGGACCAGACUCCUACGGGAGGCAGCAGUGAGGAAUAUUGGUCAAUGGGUGCAAGCCUGAACCAGCCAUCCCGCGUGAAGGACGACUGCCCUAUGGGUUGUAAACUUCUUUUGUAUAGGGAUAAACCUACCCUCGAGAGGGUAGCUGAAGGUACUAUACGAAUAAGCACCGGCUAACUCCGUG